rnacentral:rRNA from 1 species
UGAUGCAUGGGCGAGCCUGAUGCAGCGACGCCGCGUGAGGGAUGACGGCCUUCGGGUUGUAAACCUCUUUCAGUAGGGAAGAAGCGCAAGUGACGGUACCUGCAGAAGAAGCGCCGGCUAACUACGUGCCAGCAGCCGCGGUAAUACGUAGGGCGCAAGCGUUGUCCGGAAUUAUUGGGCGUAAAGAGCUCGUAGGCGGUUUGUCGCGUCCGCUGUGAAAGCCCGGGGCUCAACCCCGGGUCGGCAGUGGGUACGGGCAGACUAGAGUGCAGUAGGGGAGACUGGAAUUCCUGGUGUAGCGGUGAAAUGCGCAAAUAUCAGGAGGAACACCGAUGGCGAAGGCAGGUCUCUGGGCUGUUACUGACGCUGAGGAGCGAAAGCAUGGGGAGCGAACAGGAUUAGAUACCCUGGUAGUCCAUGCCGUAAACGUUGGGCACUAGGUGUGGGGGACAUUCCACGUCCUCCGCGCCGUAGCUAACGCAUUAAGUGCCCCGCCUGGGGAGUACGGCCGCAAGGCUAAAACUCAAUGAAAUUUGACGGA